UCGGGAAUUUUGGGCAAUGGGCGAAAGCCUGACCCAGCAACGCCGCGUGAAGGAUGAAAUCUUUCGGGAUGUAAACUUCGGAAGAAUAGGAAGAAUAAAAUGACGGUACUAUUUUAAGGUCCGGCUAACUACGUGCCAGCAGCCGCGGUAAUACGUAGGGACCAAGCGUUGUUCGGAUUUACUGGGCGUAAAGCGCGUGUAGGCGGGUCGUUAAGUUGGGGGUGAAAUCCCGAGGCUCAACCUCGGAACUGCCUUCAAAACUGGCGACCUGGACCCAAGUAGAGGCAAGUGGAAUUGCGAGUGUAGAGGUGAAAUUCGUAGAUAUUCGCAGGAACACCAGUGGCGAAGGCGACUUGCUGGACUUGUGGUGACGCUGAGACGCGAAAGCGUGGGGAGCAAACAGGAUUAGAUACCCGCGUAGUCCCUGAGCGGGCUGGCAAGGCGCAU
rnacentral:rRNA from 1 species